rnacentral:rRNA from 1 species
GUCUACUACCAUGCUACCCUGAACACGCCCAAUCUCAUCUGAUCUUAGAAGCUAAGCAGGGUCAGGCCUGUUUAGUACUUGGAUGGGAGACCACCUAGGGAAUACCAGGUGCUGUAGGUG